rnacentral:rRNA from 1 species
GACGAACGCUGGCGGCGUGCUUAACACAUGCAAGUCGAACGGAAAGGCCCAGCUUGCUGGGUACUCGAGUGGCGAACGGGUGAGUAACACGUGGGUGAUCUGCCCCUGUCUUUGGGAUAAGCCUGGUCAACUGGGUCUAAUACCGGAUAUGACCUUACAUCGCAUGGUUUUUGGUGUAAAGCUUUUGCGGUUGGGGAUGGGCCCGCGGCCUAUCCGCUCGUUGGUGGGUUAUUGGCCUACGAAGGCGACGACGGGUAGCCGACCUGAGAGGGUGAUCGGCCACACGGGGACUGAGAGACGGCCCAGACGCCAACGGGAGGCAGCAGGGGGGAGUAUUGCACAAUGGGCGCAAGCCUGAUGCAGCGACGCCGCGUGAGGGAAGACGGCCUUCGGGGUGUAAACCUCUUUCACCAGGGACGAGGAGUGAGUGACGGUACCUGGAGAAGAAGCACCGGCCAACUACGUG